CGUGUCUCAUGAACGUGACUAAAAACAGCCUCUGCGUUUGUUGAGGACUAUUUUCAACCAUGAAUUCAUGUUUGGUGAUCUGGUGAGUAGUUCUGGCAGCAGGACGGCGUGUGUGGGGACUGAGUCAGAAUGGUAUUCAUGGAAGUGAGGGACAUGUCCCGCAGUGCAACAGUGGGACUCACUGGUGUAUUUUCCAUCACUUCUGGAAAACGAUGGGGCUCUGUGGUGGAGCGAACUAAGCUGCAAUGAGCUUUAACCAGGAAGCCAACAGUCGCAAAGGGUGAGCAGGCUGGAGUUGUUGGAAUAAUGGGGCUCUGUACACGUUGGCAGAGACACACCUGGCGGGGAGACAGUCGGCACCUGGAGACCUCAGAUUCCUCACUCCCUCCCUCAGGUGUGUGGGUUCCACCUGGGUGAUUGUCAGCCCCUCCCUGAUUGUUUGCACCUGGCCCUCAUCACCCGGUGUAUUUAGUCUGUGGGUUCCUGUCCUCUGUCGCCAGUUCGUCUUUGAUACAAUGUUCCUAGCGUUCCAGCAUUUACUCCUGAUAGCCUCCCUGUUACCGACCCCUGCCUGGUUAACGCGUUACGUCUCUGCCUUUUCCCUGCCGGAUACCUUGCCUGGUGAUCGACUGCCUGCCCGUGUACCGACCUUGGACCGGAACGUUUACGACCUUUGCACCUACCUGCCUCCUGUCGGAUUCUUACACCCGUGUUUGUACUGCCAUCCAACAGUAAAAUUGGUUUACUGCA